AGCGAACGCUGGCGGCAGGCUUAACACAUGCAAGUCGAACGGUCCUUCGGGAUAGUGGCGGACGGGUGAGUAACACGUGGGAACGUACCCUUAGGUUCGGAACAACACAGGGAAACUUGUGCUAAUACCGGAUGAGCCCUUCGGGGGAAAGAUUUAUCGCCUUUGGAGCGGCCCGCGUCUGAUUAGCUAGUUGGUGAGGUAAUGGCUCACCAAGGCGACGAUCAGUAGCUGGUCUGAGAGGAUGGCCAGCCACACUGGGACUGAGACACGGCCCAGACUCCUACGGGAGGCAGCAGUGGGGAAUCUUGCGCAAUGGGCGAAAGCCUGACGCAGCCAUGCCGCGUGGAUGAUGAAGGCCUUAGGAUUGUAAAAUCCUUUCACCGGGGACGAUAAUGACGGUACCCGGAGAAGAAGCCCCGGCUAACUUCGUGCCAGCAGCCGCGGUAAUACGAAGGGGGCUAGCGUUGCUCGGAAUUACUGGGCGUAAAGGGCGCGUAGGCGGACAGUUAAGUUGGGGGUGAAAGCCCGGGGCUCAACCUCGGAAUUGCCUUCAAUACUGGCUGUCUUGAGUACGGGAGAGGUGAGUGGAACUCCGAGUGUAGAGGUGAAAUUCGUAGAUAUUCGGAAGAACACCAGUGGCGAAGGCGACUCACUGGCCCGUUACUGACGCUGAGGCGCGAAAGCGUGGGGAGCAAACA
rnacentral:rRNA from 1 species